GCAGCUCAGUGGCAAAGCAUCUGUUUUGCAUGCAGAAAACCCCGGGUUCGGUUCCCAGCAUCUGCA